UGGGGAAUAUUGGACAAUGGGCGCAAGCCUGAUCCAGCCAUGCCGCGUGAGUGACGAAGGCCUUAGGGUUGUAAAGCUCUUUCGCCUGGGAACAAGAGAAUCUGGAUAACACCCAGAGGAUUUGAGGGUACUAGGUAAAGAAGCACCGGCUAACUACGUGCCAGCAGCCGCGGUAAUACGUAGGGUGCGAGCGUUAAUCGGAAUUACUGGGCGUAAAGCGUGCGCAGGCGGCGACAUAAGACAGAUGUGAAAUCCCCGGGCUCAACCUGGGAACUGCGUUUGUGACUGUGUUGCUAGAGUGUAGCAGAGGGGGGUGGAAUUCCACGUGUAGCAGUGAAAUGCGUAGAGAUGUGGAGGAACACCGAUGGCGAAGGCAGCCCCCUGGGUUAACACUGACGCUCAUGCACGAAAGCGUGGGGAGCAAACAGGAUUAGAUACCCCAGUAGUCCCUGAGCGGGCUGGCAAGGCGCAU
rnacentral:rRNA from 1 species